GAAAGGACAUCCACCAUGCUGCGCGUAGCAGUUCCCAACAAAGGCUCACUGUCCGAGUCCGCCGCCGAGAUUCUCAGCGAGGCCGGCUACCGUCGACGCACCGAUUCCCGUGAUCUGACGGUCCUGGAUCCUGCCAACCAGGUCGAGUUCUUUUUCUUGCGCCCCAAGGACAUUGCGAUCUACGUCGGCUCCGGUGAGCUCGAUCUCGGCAUCACCGGUCGCGACCUCGCCGGCGACUCGGGAGCUCCCGUGUCCGAGCGUCUGUCGCUGGGGUUCGGCCGUUCGUCGUUCCGCUACGCAGCUCCGG
rnacentral:misc_RNA from 1 species